UACGGAGGGUGCAAGCGUUAUCCGGAUUCACUGGGUUUAAAGGGUGCGUAAGUGGAGUGGUAAGUCAGUGGUGAAAUCUCCAAGCUUAACUUGGAAACUGCCGUUGAUACUAUCAUUCUUGAAUAUCGUGGAGGUAAGCGGAAUAUGUCAUGUAGCGGUGAAAUGCUUAGAUAUGACAUAGAACACCGAUUGCGAAGGCAGCUUGCUACACGAUCAUUGACACUGAGGCACGAAAGCGUGGGGAUCAAACAGG
rnacentral:rRNA from 1 species